rnacentral:lncRNA from 1 species
GCUACAGUGCUACUGGCCCAUAAUCAGGCAACUGCAGAGUCUUAGGGGGUUAUCUAAUGUAGUCUUGGGGUGGCUGGAUAGACUUCCCAAAGAAGGUGAUGCCGAAGCUGAGGUCGGAAAUUACGAAGAUCAGCUAUGAAGGCCUGAGGAGAGAAGACACAUAGUCAUGCUGACUAAACCAGAUCACCUAGAAUUACCAAAUGGAAAGAUUGUGCCUGCAGCCUGGCCUGUUGCCCACAGCGGUCUACCUGCCACACUGGGAAAGAUCGAGCAGAGACAGAGAAGAAAAGGAGGCUCCAUUUUUCAGGCUGCUCUCCCGCAGGCUCAUGUUUUGUGUUCAUGCCAGGCAGAGAACACAAAAUGUUCCAAUAAAUAAGUAUCAAAGGUUAGUGGUGAAAAUGAAGGAGGAGGAGGCAUUGCGUGAAAAACUAAACAUGCAAAAUAUUACACACAAAGAGAACCAAAAUGCAGGUUCACUGGAAAUGAUAGACAAUAUGUUAAAACAAGAGGAGAGAAGAGAGCUGAAAUAAUCAAAUGGAAACACACAAUUUAGGGCUAAGAUCUUGUUGUGUUCAGCCACAAAUGAUGGCCAGCAGUGAGGAAUCUGUGUGUUCUCCACACUCUUCGCUCCUGGGAAGUCAACUCACAUGGACCAUGAUAUCAAUAUCUGCUCCUUCCCCUAAUAUCUGUUUGACCUUGGGUCAGUUACUUAAACUUCCUAAGCCUUAGUUUCUUUGUCUGGAAAAUAGGGAUAGUUAUACCUACCACACAACCACUUUGUAAUGAAUAUGUUGGAAAUUAUAUGCAAAUUGGCUUCCGUUGGUGUUUGGAACAUAGUAGGUUUUUAACUGGAAUAUAAUAGCUACCAUUAUCAGUAUCAUCAUAUUAAUUUAUAUUUCCAUCUUCAGCCCUUAACCCAGGAUCUUCAGUAAAUGUUGAAUUCUCAAAUUUGUUAAAUUCACUUGUCUAUACUAAUAUUUUACUCUAGGUUUCUUAGAAUAUUCUAGAUAAUAUUAUUAUGUAGAAUAUGUUAUGUAAGCUUCAUCUUAUCUGUAAAUAUAGUUUUACUUUUUCCUUUCUAAUUUUUAUGUCGAUUACUUCUUUUUCUUGGCUUAUUGAAUUGGCUAGGAUUCCCGUACAGUGUUGAAUACGUGCAGCAAGACUGCACAUCUUGCCUUGUUCCUGGUCCCACAGAGAGAAUAUCCAGUACUUCACAAUAAGUAUGUGUUAAUUGUAGAUUUUAUUAGAUUGAGGAAGUUCCCUUUCCUUUCAAGUCAGUCUUUUUAUUUUAAACAUGUAUUGAAGUUUUGUCAAAUGUCUUCAUCUAUUGGAAUAAUUAUACAUAUCUCUUUUUUAUUCUGUUAAUAUUACAUUUCAAUCUUCUGUCUACCUAAAAUCCCUAGAAUAAUCUCCAUUUGGCUAUGAUGUGUUGUGCUUUUAUAUAUUACUGAAUUCUAUAUGCCAAUAUUAUUAAAAUUUUCUGUCUUUAUGAGAA